UGCUAAAGUUGGCUUACCGUGACGGUCGAGGGGUAACAUUACAGCUUGCUGUAGAUGACGACCGGCGCACGGGUGCGUAUCGCGUAUACAAUUUGCCUUAUACUGGAGAAUAGCCCUGAGAAAUUUCUAAUUAAUGCUCCAUAGUAUCUUAAAACGGCCUCGUUUAAAGAUUAAAGCUCCGGCGGUAUAAGAUGAGUAUGCGUCCUAUUAGUUUGUUGGUGAGGUAACGGCUCACCGAGACUACGAUAGGUAGGGGUCCUGAGAGGGAGAUCCCCCACACUGGUACUGAGACACGGACCAGACUCCUACGGGAGGCAGCAGUGAGGAAUAUUGGGCAAUGGAGGCAACUCUGACCCAGCCAUGCCGCGUGAAGGAAGACGGCCCUAUGGGUUGUAAACUUCUUUUAUACAGGAAGAAACGCAGAUACGUGUAUCUGUUUGACGGUACUGUACGAAUAAAGGACCCGGCUAGACGCCGUGCCCAGCAGCCGCGGUAAUACGGAGGGGCCCAAGGCGUUAAUCCGGAAAUUCAUUUGGGUUUAAAGGGGUCCGGAGGGCCGGUUAAAUUAAUUCAGAAGGGUAAAGGGCCCCCAGCUUCAAUGUGGUGGGAAUUGCCUUUGAGUCCUGGGUUAUUUGGAGGUUAAAGGGGAGUUAAAAGAAAUAAGUAUGUGUACCGUGGAAAUGCCUAUAUUUUCCAUAGAAAACCGAAUUGCGAAGGCGUUUCACUAACUAUUUAUCUGACUCUGUGAGACAAAGCCUGGGAGCAACAGGUUAAUUUCCCGUGUAUCACCCUUCACAGUGGACCUAUGUGUGCUGUGUCGGGCAUUUUUGACAAACACAUUGUUAGUUCUUCUCUUUGGUAUUCGGCUCGUAAUGGAGACCAAAAAAAAUUCCGCCCGCG
rnacentral:rRNA from 1 species